CUUAAGCGUAGUCCUGGCUUUCAGCGUAGGCAUAGCUAAUUGUUACUCAAGUGGUUAUAAAGUUCCAAACAUUUUUUUGUUUAUAUACAUAUAUAUAGAGAGAGAGAUACAUACAUACACCUAUGUAUAUGUAUACAUAAAUGAAACUGAGUUGGUGGAGUAAAAGACUUUUCUGCUUGUUGCAUAUACUCACGUAUCAGCAGACUCAUAUACAAGCUGAUCCAAACUGGGUGCCAAGCUGUGCCUUUUUUGUCGCCUGGAAUAUGCAAUCUGUGUGCCUCAGGUGUACCUUGUCUAUUAACUAUCUCUUACAUUGUGCCAUCCCACUAAUAUCAGUGGAUGUACCCAGCACCACCUUGAGGCUACAUAGAAUGUGGAAAUUUCUAGAUUAAUUCAUCAGGGAAGGCAACCAUGAAAUCCGAGGGCUGUGGACAACCAUCUACCAGAUGGUUGUUGCAGAUGCCUUUGGUCAUGUCAUUCGUCAUUUUAGCUUGCCCUUUCCUUUAUCUUGAGUUGAAUUUUUGUGUAGCGCUAUGUUUGCAGUGGUAACAUUGAGGCCAAGGUGUUUUUGAUUAAAAACGAUCGUAGCUGUAA